GCUUCCCCUUCGGGGGACAGAGUGACAGGUGGUGCAUGGUUGUCGUCAGCUCGUGUCGUGAGAUGUUGGGUUAAGUCCCGCAACGAGCGCAACCCUUGAUCUUAGUUGCCAGCAUUCAGUUGGGCACUCUAAGGUGACUGCCGGUGACAAACCGGAGGAAGGUGGGGAUGACGUCAAAUCAUCAUGCCCCUUAUGACCUGGGCUACACACGUGCUACAAUGGAUGGUACAAAGGGCUGCAAACCUGCGAAGGUAAGCGAAUCCCAUAAAGCCAUUCUCAGUUCGGAUUGCAGGCUGCAACUCGCCUGCAUGAAGCCGGAAUCGCUAGUAAUCGCGGAUCAGCAUGCCGCGGUGAAUACGUUCCCGGGCCUUGUACACACCGCCCGUCACACCACGAGAGUUUGUAACACCCGAAGUCGGUGAGGUAACCUUCAUGGAGCCAGCCGCCUAAGGUGGGACAGAUGAUUGGGGUG
rnacentral:rRNA from 1 species